rnacentral:tRNA from 1 species
ACACUUUAGUAUAAGAUGUACAGAAGUUUUUGAAUCUUCAGGAAGCAAUUUAAUUCUGCUAUGUGUAAU